GCUUCGUUCGUCUAAUGGUAGGGCCGUUGCUUUACACGCAACAGACGGAGGUUCAAUUCCUUCACGAAGCACCA
rnacentral:tRNA from 1 species